rnacentral:rRNA from 1 species
GACGAACGCUGGCGGCGUGCUUAACACAUGCAAGUCGAACGCGCCUGUCCUCUGGGUUUCUGGGGGGUGGGUGAGUGGCGAACGGGUGAGUAACACGUGAGUAACCUGCCCCCUUCUUCGGGAUAACGGUCUGAAAGGGCUGCUAAUACCGGGUAUUCACUGGUCUCCGCAUGGGGUCUGGUGGGAAGGUUUUUUCUGGUGGGGGAUGGGCUCGCGGCCUAUCAGCUUGUUGGUGGGGUGAUGGCCCACCAAGGCUUUGACGGGUAGCCGGCCUGAGAGGGUGACCGGUCACAUUGGGACUGAGAUACGGCCCAGACUCCUACGGGAGGCAGCAGUGGGGAAUAUUGCACAAUGGGCGCAAGCCUGAUGCAGCGACGCCGCGUGAGGGAUGGAGGCCUUCGGGUUGUGAACCUCUUUCGCCCGUGGUCAAGCCGCGACGUGGGUCGUGGUGAGGGUAGUGGGUAAAGAAGCGCCGGCUAACUACGUG